rnacentral:rRNA from 1 species
GACGAACGCUGGCGGCGCGCCUAAUACAUGCAAGUGGGACGCAAGGGAACACACUGUGCUUGCACACCGUGUUUUCUUGAGUCGCGAACGGGUGAGUAACGCGUAGGUAACCUGCCUAUUAGCGGGGGAUAACUAUUGGAAACGAUAGCUAAUACCGCAUAAUAUUAAUUAUUGCAUGAUAAUUGAUUGAAAGAUGCAAGCGCAUCACUAGUAGAUGGACCUGCGUUGUAUUAGCUAGUUGGUAAGGUAAGAGCUUACCAAGGCGACGAUACAUAGCCGACCUGAGAGGGUGAUCGGCCACACUGGGACUGAGACACGGCCCAGACUCCUACGGGAGGCAGCAGUAGGGAAUCUUCGGCAAUGGACGAAAGUCUGACCGAGCAACGCCGCGUGAGUGAAGAAGGUUUUCGGAUCGUAAAGCUCUGUUGUAAGUCAAGAACGUGUGUGAGAGUGGAAAGUUCACACAGGAC